rnacentral:rRNA from 1 species
UGGGGAAUAUUGCACAAUGGGCGAAAGCCUGAUGCAGCAACGCCGCGUGAGUGAUGAAGGCCUUCGGGUUGUAAAGCUCUGUCUUUUGGGACGAUAAUGACGGUACCAAAGGAGGAAGCCACGGCUAACUACGUGCCAGCAGCCGCGGUAAUACGUAGGUGGCAAGCGUUGUCCGGAUUUUACUGGGCGUAAAGGAUGCGUAGGCGGAUUUUUCAAGUGAGAUGUGAAAUUACCCCGGGCUUAACUUGGGUGCUGCAUUUCAAACUGGGAAUCUAGAGUGCGGGAGAGGAGAAUGGAAUUCCUAGUGUAGCGGUGAAAUGCGUAGAGAUUAGGAAGAACACCAGUGGCGAAGGCGAUUCUCUGGACCGUAACUGACGCUGAGGCA